AACGAACGCUGGCGGCAGGCCUAACACAUGCAAGUCGAACGUGAAGCCACCUUCGGGUGGUGGAAAGUGGCAGACGGGUGAGUAACGCGUGGGAACGUGCCUUUCGGUUCGGAAUAACCCAGGGAAACUUGGGCUAAUACCGGAUACGCCCUACGGGGGAAAGAUUCAUUGCCGAAAGAUCGGUCCGCGUCGGAUUAGCUAGUUGGUGGGGUAAUGGCCUACCAAGGCGACGAUCCGUAGCUGGUCUGAGAGGAUGAUCAGCCACACUGGGACUGAGACACGGCCCAGACUCCUACGGGAGGCAGCAGUGGGGAAUAUUGCACAAUGGGCGAAAGCCUGAUGCAGCCAUGCCGCGUGGGUGAAGAAGGCCCUAGGGUUGUAAACCCCUUUCAGCGGGGAAGAUAAUGACGGUACCCGCAGAAGAAGUCCCGGCUAACUCCGUGCCAGCCGCCGCGGUAAGAC
rnacentral:rRNA from 1 species